AACGAACGCUGGCGGCAUGCCUAACACAUGCAAGUCGAACGAGACCUUCGGGUCUAGUGGCGCACGGGUGCGUAAUGCGUGGGAACCUGCCCUUAGGUUCGGAAUAACUCCUCGAAAGGGGUGCUAAUACCGGAUAAUGUCUUCGGACCAAAGAUUUAUCGCCUUUGGAUGGGCCCGCGUUGGAUUCGCUAGUUGGUAGGGUAAAAGCCUACCAAGGCGACGAUCCAUAGCUGGUCUGAGAGGAUGAUCAGCCACACUGGGACUGAGACACGGCCCAGACUCCUACGGGAGGCAGCAGUGGGGAAUAUUGGACAAUGGGCGAAAGCCUGAUCCAGCAAUGCCGCGUGAGUGAUGAAGGCCUUAGGGUUGUAAAGCUCUUUUACCCGGGAUGAUAAUGACAGUACCGGGAGAAUAAGCUCCGGCUAACUCCGUG
rnacentral:rRNA from 1 species